AUCCAGCUGACGAGUCCCAAAUAGAAGGAAACGCGCGUCUUGGAU
rnacentral:hammerhead_ribozyme from 1 species